rnacentral:rRNA from 1 species
GGGUUGUGAGGUUAAGCGACUAAGCGUACACGGUGGAUGCCCUGGCAGUCAGAGGCGAUGAAGGGCGUGCUAAUCUGCGAUAAGCGCCGGUAAGGUGAUAUGAACCGUUAUAACCGGCGAUACCCGAAUGGGGAAACCCAGUGUGAUUCGUCACACUAUCAUUAACUGAAUCCAUAGGUUAAUGAGGCGAACCGGGGAACUGAAACAUCUAAGUACCCCGAGGAAAAGAAAUCAACCGAGAUUCCCCCAGUAGCGGCGAGCGAACGGGGAGGAGCCCAGAGCCUGAAUCAGCAUGUGUGUUAGUGGAAGCGUCUGGAAAGGCGCGCGAUACAGGGUGACAGCCCCGUACACAAAAGCGCAUGUGCUGUGAGCUCGAUGAGUAGGGCGGGACACGUGGUAUCCUGUCUGAAUAUGGGGGGACCAUCCUCCAAGGCUAAAUACUCCUGACUGACCGAUAGUGAACCAGUACCGUGAGGGAAAGGCGAAAAGAACCCCGGCGAGGGGAGUGAAAAAGAACCUGAAACCGUGUACGUACAAGCAGUGGGAGCCCCACCACCAAAGCAUUCUCUGGUGUUGAAGGCCCUGCAAAGCAGCAUCGCGGUGGCGGAGCGUCGUUUGCGACGCCCAACACACAAAACAAGCGGUGAGUGCUUUGGGGUGGGGUGACUGCGUACCUUUUGUAUAAUGGGUCAGCGACUUAUAUUCUGUAGCAAGGUUAACCGAAUAGGGGAGCCGGAGGGAAACCGAGUCUUAAUUGGGCGUUAAGUUGCAGGGUAUAGACCCGAAACCCGGUGAUCUAGCCAUGGGCAGGUUGAAGGUUGGGUAACACUAACUGGAGGACCGAACCGACUAAUGUUGAAAAAUUAGCGGAUGACCUGUGGCUGGGGGUGAAAGGCCAAUCAAACCGGGAGAUAGCUGGUUCUCCCCGAAAGCUAUUUAGGUAGCGCCUCGUGAAUUCAUCUCCGGGGGUAGAGCACUGUUUCGGCUAGGGGGCCAUCCCGGCUUACCAACCCGAUGCAAACUGCGAAUACCGGAGAAUGUUAUCACGGGAGACACACGGCGGGUGCUAACGUCCGUCGUGAAGAGGGAAACAACCCAGACCGCCAGCUAAGGUCCCAAAGUCAUGGUUAAGUGGGAAACGAUGUGGGAAGGCCCAGACAGCCAGGAUGUUGGCUUAGAAGCAGCCAUCAUUUAAAGAAAGCGUAAUAGCUCACUGGUCGAGUCGGCCUGCGCGGAAGAUGUAACGGGGCUAAACCAUGCACCGAAGCUGCGGCAGCGAACGUAUCACUUAAAGCGAUUCAGCGGGUUACGAUUGACGGAGCGAAGCGACGUCAAAGCGUAUACAAAGUCGAGUCGGUUUAAGGAUACGUUCGUUGGGUAGGGGAGCGUUCUGUAAGCCUGCGAAGGUGGCCUGUGAGGGUUGCUGGAGGUAUCAGAAGUGCGAAUGCUGACAUAAGUAACGAUAAAGCGGGUGAAAAGCCCGCUCGCCGGAAGACCAAGGGUUCCUGUCCAACGUUAAUCGGGGCAGGGUGAGUCGACCCCUAAGGCGAGGCCGAAAGGCGUAGUCGAUGGGAAACGGGUUAAUAUUCCCGUACUUGGUGUUACUGCGAAGGGGGGACGGAGAAGGCUAUGUUGGCCGGGCGACGGUUGUCCCGGUUUAAGCGUGUAGGUGUGUGUUCCAGGUAAAUCCGGUUCACUUUAACACUGAGGCGUGACGACGAGGCACUACGGUGCUGAAGCAACAAAUGCCCUGCUUCCAGGAAAAGCCUCUAAGCAUCAGGUAACAUCAAAUCGUACCCCAAACCGACACAGGUGGUCAGGUAGAGAAUACCAAGGCGCUUGAGAGAACUCGGGUGAAGGAACUAGGCAAAAUGGUGCCGUAACUUCGGGAGAAGGCACGCUGACACGUAGGUGAAGUGAUUUACUCACGGAGCUGAAGUCAGUCGAAGAUACCAGCUGGCUGCAACUGUUUAUUAAAAACACAGCACUGUGCAAACACGAAAGUGGACGUAUACGGUGUGACGCCUGCCCGGUGCCGGAAGGUUAAUUGAUGGGGUCAGCGCAAGCGAAGCUCCUGAUCGAAGCCCCGGUAAACGGCGGCCGUAACUAUAACGGUCCUAAGGUAGCGAAAUUCCUUGUCGGGUAAGUUCCGACCUGCACGAAUGGCGUAAUGAUGGCCAGGCUGUCUCCACCCGAGACUCAGUGAAAUUGAACUCGCUGUGAAGAUGCAGUGUACCCGCGGCAAGACGGAAAGACCCCGUGAACCUUUACUAUAGCUUGACACUGAACAUUGAGCCUUGAUGUGUAGGAUAGGUGGGAGGCUUUGAAGUGUGGACGCCAGUCUGCAUGGAGCCGACCUUGAAAUACCACCCUUUAAUGUUUGAUGUUCUAACGUGGACCCGUGAUCCGGGUUGCGGACAGUGUCUGGUGGGUAGUUUGACUGGGGCGGUCUCCUCCUAAAGAGUAACGGAGGAGCACGAAGGUUGGCUAAUCCUGGUCGGACAUCAGGAGGUUAGUGCAAUGGCAUAAGCCAGCUUGACUGCGAGCGUGACGGCGCGAGCAGGUGCGAAAGCAGGUCAUAGUGAUCCGGUGGUUCUGAAUGGAAGGGCCAUCGCUCAACGGAUAAAAGGUACUCCGGGGAUAACAGGCUGAUACCGCCCAAGAGUUCAUAUCGACGGCGGUGUUUGGCACCUCGAUGUCGGCUCAUCACAUCCUGGGGCUGAAGUAGGUCCCAAGGGUAUGGCUGUUCGCCAUUUAAAGUGGUACGCGAGCUGGGUUUAGAACGUCGUGAGACAGUUCGGUCCCUAUCUGCCGUGGGCGCUGGAGAACUGAGGGGGGCUGCUCCUAGUACGAGAGGACCGGAGUGGACGCAUCACUGGUGUUCGGGUUGUCAUGCCAAUGGCACUGCCCGGUAGCUAAAUGCGGAAGAGAUAAGUGCUGAAAGCAUCUAAGCACGAAACUUGCCCCGAGAUGAGUUCUCCCUGAGACUUAGAGUCUCCUGAAGGAACGUUGAAGACGACGACGUUGAUAGGCCGGGUGUGUAAGCGCAGCGAUGCGUUGAGCUAACCGGUACUAAUGAACCGUGAGGCUUAACCUUACAACGCCGAAG